rnacentral:lncRNA from 1 species
UCGAAAUUAAAUGGCUCUAUCUUGUACUUCAUGCUCAAUUUUGCUGAGAACCAAAAACUGCUCUAAAAAAUGAAGUCUAUUAAAGAAAAUAAAAUUAUCUGAUUAAGUGGCAAACUAUGGCAUUUUUUGCUUAAAACUUUUAACUUCUUGACUAUCCAUGGCUUAGUAAUUAGUUUGUGGUCCCCUUUAUGUACAGCGAAAGACAUUAGAGAAAUACGGUGUUGAACUAAGCAGCUGGAAUACCAGCCUGUCAUUAAACUUAUGAAGAAAAAACUGACACUGGAGUGAUGGACAAAUAGAUGUGCUAAGAUUUUUUUUUCUGUAAGGAAAAGCAGUUUUUGAAAAAGAAUGCCUCAUAUUUACAUUUUAAAAUUAAAAAAUAACUUGUACACUAUGGUUUAUGUGAAAGAUGUUUAUUUUCUUUCAAACAAUAUUAAAACAAAUAAAUUACGUGCAGUUGAGUAACACAAUGAGCACAUAAUACAGUUAACCUUUUAAAAGGCACUUCUGGCAUAAUCACUAAAGUAAUAUAGACAAUUAGACAAUUAUUUGCUUUGACACUUUAUUAAUUUGACCAUUCAUUUCAAUUUUCUUUUAAUGUUCUUCAGUGAAUUGUUUCAUUUAUAAACACUUCAAAGUUCCAUCAUAAAAUAUGCCUAGAUUAACUGACUUAUCUUAAUUCUAUUUACUAUGGAACCUAUCACCAAAAAAAUCUAAUUUAAAGGACAUUUUAAAAUGUUAUCCUUUAUUUGGGUACUAAACUAAUCACUCCUCCACAGAGUCAUAAGAAAGUGUUUGAAAUAAACAAAAAUAAAUGAAGUGGAACUGGUGAUUGAUAUAAAUCUUCUAGAAACAAAAGUUGGGUAAGCCAGAGGUUUUUUGUUAUUGACACUGUUUAUUCUUUUUAAGUGAUUUUGUUCUUUUAUUAUUUUUAAUUAUACAAUUUUAAAUAGUAUGCUUUUAUUUUAAAAUACUUUAAAGUGUUUUUUAGAAAACAGGCAGGGUCCAGUUUUUUUUUUUUUUUUUUUUUUUUUUUUUGAGACGGAGUCUCGCUCUGUCACCCAGGCUGGAGUGCAGUGGCGGGAUCUCGGCUCACUGCAAGCUCCGCCUCCCGGUUCUGGGAUUACAGGGGUGAGCCACCGCGCCCAGCCGGUG